rnacentral:rRNA from 1 species
AGUGAACGCUGGCGGUAGGCCUAACACAUGCAAGUCGAACGGCAGCACAGUAAGAGCUUGCUCUUACGGGUGGCGAGUGGCGGACGGGUGAGGAAUACAUCGGAAUCUACUUUUUCGUGGGGAUAACGUAGGGAAACUUACGCUAAUACCGCAUACGACCUACGGGUGAAAGCAGGGGAUCUUCGGACCUUGCGCGAUUGAAUGAGCCGAUGUCGGAUUAGCUAGUUGGUGGGGUAAAGGCCCACCAAGGCGACGAUCCGUAGCUGGUCUGAGAGGAUGAUCAGCCACACUGGAACUGAGACACGGUCCAGACUCCUACGGGAGGCAGCAGUGGGGAAUAUUGGACAAUGGGCGCAAGCCUGAUCCAGCCAUACCGCGUGGGUGAAGAAGGCCUUCGGGUUGUAAAGCCCUUUUGUUGGGAAAGAAAAGCAGCAGGUUAAUACCCCGCUGUUCUGACGGUACCCAAAGAAUAAGCACCGGCUAACUUCGUG